AUUUUUUAAUAGGUGAUUUCAGGAACAUUAGAUUUCGUUAUGUCAAAAUGAUUGUUUUGCCAAAAUUGGUAUUAAGAAGGAAUUAUGAAUUUCCAUGAUUUAUAUCAACUGCUCAAAUAUUGGUAUUGUAAUAACCCUAUAGGUUAUAAGGACUAGAAAUCUUGACAGUGACAAACUACAGUUUAAAGUAUUUGUUUUUAAAUAUACAAGUCUCCAAUGUUCAGCAAUGAGCAUUAUUAAUUACAAUUAAUAUUUGCGAAAUAUUAUUACAAUUUAUUCCUUGAUGGAAAGGCAAAAUAUUCAGUGACCAUAACAAAUCAUUCAGAAAUCCUUCUAAUAUGAUGAUUUGGUCGUGCUGCUUAAUAUUUUUGUUUCAGGAUUAUUUGAUGAAUAGAAAGGGAAGCAUUUCAAAGGAAGAGCAUUUAUUUGAAAUAUAUAUCUAAUAUUCUAAUAUUAGUUUUAAUCAUAUUUUAUAUAGUUUUAAUAAGUUUUAAUUUCUUUAAAAAAUCUUACUGACCCGAAAUGUUUGAAUGAUAGUGUUUACAGAAAGGCAGAUACUGCUGACAGCUGAACCGACUCGGUCUGUCCAGUAGCAUUUUGUAGAUGCUAAAAGCAAAAAACAUUAAUCAGUGCAAUUAAAUAACAGUGAAUAUGUUUUUUUUUUUUUUUAUUCUUUCAAAAUAGGUUCCUACUCCCUCUGUAUGGGUCUGGAGAGCUCGAUUAUCUGCUGUCUCGAUCCUGUGAUCCAGUAUCUGACUGAGUUUAAGCUAGAGAAGAUUUGUUCCAGCUCGUUCAAGCAGCUGUCGAGUGACUUUGACCACAUGCACUUCAAUGCUGCUACCACGAAGAACCUGGAAAUCCUGUGCAACCAGGCCAGUAAAAGAUGUUGGUUUGUUGGUUUGGAUGACUUCCUCUUCAUGGCCAUCGGACCACAGGUUCAGGAAAAGGCAGUCUGCUCUGGGAUCUGGAUCACACUCAAACUCCAUUUGGGAAGAGACUGUUAAGAAAGUAGGUGAGCCAGCAGCUGAAGUCUGUGAUGUGAGUCAUUAUUUAAUGUUAUUAUUCAGUAUCACAGUGAUUUGAAUGCUAGUAUGGAAGAUGCAGAGUGUUUCCAGUGCUGAAGAGUAGUGGCAUGCCCAGAUCUUCACUACACUACAAAUAACAUUGAGCUCUGAACUCCGAGCCUAGGUUAAUCCAAGUCCUAGAAUAUUUUGAAAAGAGAGGAACUUUGCACCCCUCUUUUCAACUACUGGCAGGAUUAAAUUUCUAUUCUGGCUAAAAAAAACAUAGAUUAUAGAUUAUAGGAAAACACAAUUGUUUAUAAAAUGGAUAACCUGUUGUAAAAUGCAAAAAAAUCAAAUUCAUUAUUUAUGUUUUCUCCCCAAAAUUAAAUUGGCCAGACUCUGUAAAACAGAUGCCAUAUAUAUACGCCUUUUAAAGGUUGUGGGGGAUUGUUUGGAUCUGUGUGUGAAGUAAAACAUGCUUGCAAAGUAUUCAAUUAUGUUUGUGGAGAAUAAAUAAAUAAAUAAAUAUUUAAUUCCAAAUAACAAUCUUAAUCUUAAAUCCACAUAUUUUCCUGCCAAACUUCUUAACAGAGAUGUCGGGGAGAAUUUUUGAAUUGAGUCUAUCAUGCCAGUGAAUGUGAAUUUCUAUGAAAAUGCUGGAGUGUCUGUGGAAGGAUUGGGUAAUGCAGUUAGAUCAGGAAAUGAUCUUAAACUGUCUUUACCAACCUCAUAAAUGGGUCAGCCUAAAAAAUUCUAAAGUUUGGAGUCAUUUGGUUUUCAAAAUAAAUUAUUAUUUUCAUUCAUAAUAUUAUAAUAUUAUUAGAGUUGUUCCGAUUCCGAUACUAGUAUCGGAAAUAUCUCCGAUACCACAACAAAUUCUGGCAUCGGCAUCGGCGAGUACAUGAACCCAUAUACCGAUCCGAUACCAUUUUCUUAAAAAAGACCUAGUUAUGACCGCAAGCUUUGCCUAACCGCUGCACGGUUCUUCUUCGCUGCUCAAAAUGCAUUGAAAACACAGGAAGUUGUGCUGUGUUGCCACAAGCAACCCCUGUUUAGAGCAGCGAAGAAGAAAUGAAAACGCGUUAGCAGCCCUUAUCUAUAUAUGACUGGAUCACUCAUCACAUUCUAAACUGCCAAAAGACAGUGAAGCCGCUACUAUAUUAUAGAUCAGUGGUUAGCAGUAUGUCUCUGUAGUACCGGUAGUUACAGACUCUCGAGUAUAUUCAGUACCGGCAACUGCGUUCAGUCGCUUCCGUGUAAGUCAAAACGCAGGGCUCCAGACAGUAGCCGAAUAUAUACUAGUGUCUGUGAAUAUUAAACUGCAAAAUACUAUUUAAAUAUUACUCCCGCAAAAUCUACAUCUCUGUGGGUGACUGGCACAGAUGCGCGAGAGCUCGCUGUUUUGUAGUCUCUGCUGUGUGUCAUGAGGACACGAACGCAUAAACCGUCACUUCAUGAGAAUUUACCGUUUCAUUUGAGAAUACUGUCAUAUCAUAAACACAGACACUCAAAGAUCUUCAUGGCAGCCCAUUAAAAUAAAUGUUUGGUUUACAUGAGUAAAUUGACAAUAUAUAAAGCUACUGUUGUAGCCUACAGUAAUAAUAAUACAUCUCUAUAAUAAUAAUAAUUAUGCCUAGAUGGUUGCUUGUUUUUUACUUGUUAGAGAUUAUCUGAUUAAUAGAUCUUUUUUUAUAUUCCUAGACUUAUUUGUUGCAGUUUUUUUAUACAGUUAUAUUGUAAAACUUAAAUACCUUUUUUAGUUUGCGGUGUUAGAUUUUUGGCUGCAUUUGAAGUUCUUUUUUGCAUAAGAAAAUAAAUAAUACUGUCAAAUUCAUGUUAGAUAAUAAAAAUACUGUAAUAAAUACAGUAGUUCACCAUGUAUUUGUUCAUGUUUUAUUGAGGGAUCUGUCUGAAGCACACCAUAAAAAAAUUCUAGCAAUUUACACAGGGCUAGUAGUAUAUACAGCUGUAUAUACAGAUAUACACCCAGGUAUCGGAUCAGUACUCGGUAUCGGCCGAUACCCUGAGCCCAGGUAUCGGAAUCCGUAUCGGGAAGAGAAAAAGGGUAUCGGAACAUCUCUAAAUAUUAUUAUAUAUUUUUUUGCAUUAAAAUGAUCCAAAGUGACAGUUAAGGCAAUAUAACAUGUUACAAUUGAUAUACAUUUAAGAUAAAUGCUGUUCUUUUGAAAUUUGUUCAUCCAAGAAUUUUGAAAAAAAAAAAAAAACUAUAUUUUUUUCCCACAAAAAUGUUAAGUUGUUGUCAACAUGGAUAAUAAUAGGAAAUGUUUCCUGAGCUUCAAAUCAGCACAUUAAAAUGAUUUCUGAAAGAUCAUGUGACACUGAAGACUGGAGUAAUUACUCCUGAAAA
ensembl:lncRNA